UACGAAGGGGGCUAGCGUUGCUCGGAAUUACUGGGCGUAAAGCGCACGUAGGCGGCUUGUUAAGUCGGGGGUGAAAUCCUGGAGCUCAACUCCAGAACUGCCUUCGAUACUGGCGAUCUCGAGUCCGGGAGAGGUGAGUGGAACUGCGAGUGUAGAGGUGAAAUUCGUAGAUAUUCGCAAGAACACCAGUGGCGAAGGCGGCUCACUGGCCCGGUACUGACGCUGAGGUGCGAAAGCGUGGGGAGCGAACAGG
rnacentral:rRNA from 1 species